CCAAUUUGGAAGAAAGAUAAUUAAUUUUGCUUAAUUAAUAUAAAACCAAAGCCACCUAAUUUUACCAAAAGGACAUCCAACAACCCUAAAAUUACUACAUGUGCCAUUGUGCUUAACUGUCAAAUACAGUUUAUUUAAUUAUAAACCAAAACUUAAAACUGUCAAAACGACAUAACAUUCCCACAAAACACAACACAAAACGACACUACUCAAAUUUAAUCACUUCAAAAACUGGUUUCGCUCGACCUUUCAUAUCCCACUGCAAACCUACAAACUAUUCUCCAAAAACGAAGCCGAUGAGCAGCAACGAGGACGACCAGAAACGAAGACGACGAGUAACGGCGACGACGACCAACGACCACCUACUACGAGCAACGACCACCGACGACGACCGAAACUAAACCGUAAGAAAAUGAAUCAGUACUAUCUUCGAUUUUAGGUUUUACACCAACGACGGUUUCAGUACUGUUUCUUCCUUUUGGUUUCUGGUUGUUUGUAGUAGAUUUUGACCAGAAACUGCAAUGCAGUUUCUGGUUCCAUAAUUCAAUUUCAAAGUGCUUUUUGCUAG
rnacentral:lncRNA from 1 species